AGGCGGACGGCAGUAGCAGGCCCAGCUG
rnacentral:piRNA from 1 species